CGAUAAUCUGCCCUUAGGAUCAGGAUACCCUCGGGAAACUGAGGAUAAGACUGAAUAGGGAAGUGAUUUUGGAACAAUCACUUCUAGAAACUCACGGCCUAAGGAUGAGACGGCGGCAGAUUAGGUUGUUGGUGAGGUAAUGGCUCACCAAGCCUAAGAUCUGUAGGGGCCUUGAGAGAGGGAGCCCCGAGAAGGACACUGAGAUACUGGUCCUAGCCCUACGGGGUGCAGCAGGCGCGAAACCUUUACAAUGCACGCAAGUGUGAUAAGGGAAUCCUGAGUGCUUAUGCUUUGCAUAGGCUUUUUUCAAGGGUAAAUACCUUGGAGAAUAAGUGGUGGGCAAUACCUGUGCCAGCCGCCGCGGUAACCCAGGAGCCACAAGUGGCAACCGCUUUUAUUGGGCCUAAAGCGUCCGUAGCCGGUUAUGUAAAUCUUCUGUGAAAUCGUCUGGCUUAACCUGACGGCAUGCAGGAGAGACUGCAUAACUAGGGACCGGGAGGAGUGUGAAGUAUUUUGGGGGGAGCGGUAAAAUGCUAUAAUCCUCGAAGGACUACCUGUGGCGAAGGCGUCACACUAGAACGGAUCCAACGGUGAGGGACGAAAGCUAGGGGAGCAAACCGGAUUAGAUACCCGAGUAGUCCUAGCUGUAAACUCUGCGAGCUAAGUGUUGCAUAUUCCUCGGGAAUGUGCAGUGUCGUAGCGAAGGUGUUAAGCUCGCCGCCUGGGAAGCAUGGUCGCAAGGCUGAAACUUAA
rnacentral:rRNA from 1 species